rnacentral:rRNA from 1 species
AUUGAACGCUGGUGGCAUGCUUUACACAUGCCAGUCGAACGGCAGCGCGGGCUUCGGCCUGGCGGCGAGUGGCGAACGGGUGAGUAAUGCAUCGGAACGUGCCCAGUAGUGGGGGAUAGCCCGGCGAAAGCCGGAUUAAUACCGCAUACGACCUGAGGGUGAAAGCGGGGGACCGAAAGGCCUCGCGCUAUUGGAGCGGCCGAUGUCGGAUUAGCUAGUUGGUGGGGUAAAGGCUUACCAAGGCGACGAUCCGUAGCUGGUCUGAGAGGACGACCAGCCACACGGGGACUGAGACGCCCCCCAGACCCAGCCGGGAGGAAGCAGGGGGGAAUUGUGGACAAGGGGGGCAACCCUGAUCCCGCCAUGCCGCGGGAGGAAAGAAGCCCUUCGGGUUGAAAACCGUUUUUGUUCGGGAAGAACUCCUCGGGGCUAACCCCCCGGGGGGAUGACGGUACGGGAAAAAUAAGCACCGGCUACCUACGUC